rnacentral:rRNA from 1 species
CCUACGGGUGGCAGCAGUGGGGAAUAUUGCGCAAUGGGCGAAAGCCUGACGCAGCGACGCCGCGUGAGGGAUGAAGGUCUUCGGAUCGUAAACCACUGUCAGCAGGGAAGAACGGUCACUGUGCUAAUCAGCAGUGAAUUGACGGUACCUGCAAAGGAAGCACCGGCUAACUCCGUGCCAGCAGCCGCGGUAAUACGGAGGGUGCGAGCGUUAAUCGGAAUUACUGGGCGUAAAGCGCUCGUAGGCGGUAUGUCAAGUCAAGGGUGAAAUCCCCGCGCUCAACGUGGGAACUGCCUUUGAAACUGGCAAGCUGGAGUGUGGGAGAGGGUGGUAGAAUUCCAGGUGUAGGGGUGAAAUGCGUAGAGAUCUGGAGGAACACCAGUGGCGAAGGCGACUAUCUGGCACAUAACUGACGCUGAGGUGCGAAAGCGUGGGUAGCAAACAGGAUUAGAUACCCGAGUAGUC